rnacentral:rRNA from 1 species
GCACCACAAGGGGUGAAGCCUGCGGUUCAAUUGGACUCAACGCCGGGAAACUUACCAGGGGAGACAGUAGAAUGACGGUCAGGUUGACGACCUUACCUAACGAGCUGAGAGGAGGUGCAUGGCCGUCGCCAGUUCGUGCUGUGAGGUAUCCUGUUAAGUCAGGCAACGAACGAGAUCCGCGCCUUUAUUUGCCAACAAGAAGUCACGACUUCGCUGGGAACACUAAAGGGACCGCCUUCGAUAAGACGGAGGAAGGAGCGGGCAAAGGCAGGUCAGUAUGCCCCGAAACCCCUGGGCUACACGCGGGCUGCAAUGAUAUGAACAAUGGGCAGUAACUCCGAAAGGAGAAACCAAUCCCGAAAUCAUAUCUCAGUGGGGAUUGUCGGCUGUAACCCGCUGACAUGAACGUGGAAUCCCUAGUAAUCGUGUGUCAUCAUCGCACGGUGAAUACGUCUCUGCUCCUUGCACACACCGCCCGUCGCUCCAUCCGAGUAUGCUAAAAAUGAGGUUUGGUCAAACUGGUCAUAUCGAGUUUCUAGUAUGCGAGGAGGGAG